CCCGCGGUUGUGGGUUUCCACAUCACCAUUCAAGAACACAAGCCGGCCCCUGGGUAGAGUUGUAAACUGUUUACAGCUCAACACCACGUCACCAUUCACAAGCCGUUCUCGUCGUCUUCUUUCACCAGGUCAUACACAAGCGCGUCCUCUUCCAAAACAGUUCAGUACACAGGGAGUAGUCAGCCAGUCCAGGUUAAUCCAGCACCAAGGAACCUCGGGUAGAAUGGUGUCGGCGUUGUCUCCCUAUCGAAGAGGUGAUCCAGUCCUGGCCGCAGGAGCUGCCGCGAUCUAUCUUCUGCCAGAGCCUCGACCGAGGGGGGGUAUUCGACAGGAGAGGAGAGGGAAACAGACAGCACUCAGAGUUGUCUGCACGCACUAGAGGCAACCCUCCACCACCGGUGAACCCUUCAAUCGUCAGUAAAACCCGGCCUAUCAGAAGAUUGGAGCAAUUUAUUCUC
ensembl:lncRNA